UAUUUUUUUUUAAAUCUUGAGAAAGAUUAUAUUUCAAAGUUACAGUAAUCAAAAUAGUAUUACUCUAUUUUUGAGUAAAUUUAAAUUUAGACUAACCCUAACUAGUCACUAAUCUUUCUUUUCUUAGUUCUGCAUUUUGUUUCUUUUACUUUUUUUUUUUUUUAACAUCUUUAUUGGAGUAUAAGCAUGCUCUUGUUUACUAGGUGCUGGGGAUACAAUGGCAUGUACGAUAGGUCUCUUCACUGUCUGUAUGACGUCUACAAUCUAAGUAGUGAUCACUAAUAGAUAACCAGGAAGAAGGAACAGCUGCUAUAGGAAGAGUUGCUCAGGAAUAGCCUCUCCAACAGAUUUAUUGAAGGCUGGGAAGCUUUGAAGGACAGGGAAGAGUUAACGAUGGGAAAAAAAAAAAAACAGUAUUUUUAAGUAUGGCAAUUUUUUUCCUACCAUGGUUUUCUUUGAAUUUUAUCAUAGAGAAAACACUGUUUUUUACCCCCUCCCCAAGAUGUUUUCUGAAAAGCAUCUGUACAUAUAUUUAUAUGUAUGCUUUUACUUUGAUUUGUGUUACAAAAUUUAUCUUACUCUGUGUGUGUAUGUGUGUCUUUCCCAAUCAGCAUUCAGCUGUGAGUCUUCCAGACUCUGUGAUUAGGUUUUGAUGCUUAAACUCCUAAGCAUGGCCUGAAAAUGGAAACCCUUCUACAGCCUGACAUCUCUUACCUUUCUUGAUUCAACUGAGCCCUGUGCCUUGCAAAGUGCAUGGUCCAGUCACACCAGAUCAAUUUCAUCCCUUCAACAUGCCAGGACAGGUGUCCUACUUUAUUCAUCUUUGUAUCUCCAGCACCUUAUGGAAUGGCAGAGCCCGGGAUAUAAUAAUUCCUCCAUAAAUCCUUGCCAGAUAGAAUGGUCUGUGAGCUUCUCUAAAAAGAACUGUGGUCUGAAGGAAAACACUGUCUCAUCCUUUACAGAAAUCAGAAAGAAUCCAGGGAAUUUAGUCUAAUUCUUCAUGCCUUCCCAUAGGAAUUAUCAAGUGUCAGCUACCAUAGAGACUCUGCAAGUCGCUUUGUAUAAAAAAUGUUUGCAGCAAUUCAGAGGGCUGUGUAAUUGAGUUAACAAUUUGCAGGAAACGCAUUUACAUCCUGGACUGGAACCGGCGACCUAUCCAUGAGAAAAAAAAGAGUUGAAAUAGAAGAUGAUCAAACAAAAGUGGCAGUCACUGAACCAGACAACUAAUACAUCUCCAGGUCACUGUUUGAGACAAGGGGUUUCAUUUUUAAGAAGCUAUCCCACACUGCAAGGUCUGAAGCUUGUGUCAACGUUAGCUCACUCCUACUUCUAGAAGCCAUGAUGAUCUCUGGAGCUCAGCUGUUCUACCUGAGGGAGGCAGUUUUCCAUUGGAACCUUCUUAUUCUACAAAAGAGGAAACAAAUCCAGACAAGGGAAGUGAGUUCCCUUUUGUCCCACGGUGAGUUGAUUAACAAAUUAGGGAUGAGGAAAUGGAUGGAUCAAGGGGAAUACAGAUGAAAAUGCUCAAAGAAUAUGAGAGCAGACAAAGAAAUACUAAGCAGAGACCCUGUGGACUUCAUCUCUUUGAACAAGACUUUGCCAGAAGUAGAGAGUGCCCACUGAAGGACAAACACUGGGUUUACAUGUCUUCUCUCAACAUCCCCUAGAAACACAUUUUGAACCCUGGGUGCCAAAUAAAUGUUCUUCUGUGACACUGUUGAUGGCAUCUUCCCUUCACCUAUGCCAGGGCUGGACAGGAACCAAAAUAUCAAGAGAGAACAUGGAUCAUGGAAUCACAACUUCUUUUCUGCCUAACACAUCCCUUAAAAUAGUUAAGUCAUAUGAGCACAUGACAGAAAACAAUAUGUGGUGUCAUCUAUAAAUCAUCCCAGGUGGGGAGAAAGCCAAGAAUCCGGCAAUUUGGGAUGCAUUAGAAGAGUCACAGGAAAAGCUUUCUGGUUCUUUCAGGUCCUGAGUUCAAAUCCUUUGCAACUGUCUAUCAAUGUGAUAUUGGGGUUUAUUGGGAAGAUGCAAAGAGAUCAUCUCUGGAAGGCUCAGUAGCAGGCACUGAGUAAGCGCUUGGCAAAAUAUCCAUUCCCAUUUCUUAUCAACAAUCAGUAGCAAGUCUCAUGAACCUAUCCUGGAAGCCUCUCAGGUCUGUCUUGCCGUAACAGAGCAGUGAAGAACAUAAAACCUCUCUGUUCAAAUCCCAGAUUGUCCACUUACCAGAGACAUAACACUGGGGAAAAUUGUUUAACUACCCUGAGUCUUGGUUUCCAUGUUUUAUAGAUGGGGAUAAUUAUAGCUUCCACCUCAUUAAGGUUGUAGUGAGGAUGGAUUGAGAUAACUUAUGGAAAGUGCUGAGCCCUGUGUGUGCACAUAGUAAAUGCUCAAUACACAUCAGUGACUGUAAUAAUGUUGCCCUCUAGUCCCGGCUUCCUGUCCGUUUCCCUGUUUAGAGUCUCUGCCCCUUUGUCAGUUCUUCUCAGUGCUGGUCCAGAAACCAUUUAAUAAAGCAUUGAACACAUCACUCCCCUGCUCGAAACUCGCAAAGGCUCCCUAGAACCUGGGGAAUGAAGUCCAAAGCCCUAAAUUGGACAUGCAACAUGCUUCACAGAGAGUCCCAGACGCACCACCCUGCAUUGCCUCCUCUUCCCACUGUCACCGGCAGGCAAAACACAGCUGUGCAUUUACAUCCUGGCGUUUCUGUCUGCGUGGCUUCUUCUCCAGAAUGCUGAGGUGUGCUGGUCAGAGGCAACAUGCCAAGUGACUCGUGGAAGAAGAUUUGAGAGCCAGACCAUUUUAGAGCUGGAAAGGACCCAAAAGGCCACCUUACAGAUGAGGAAACUGAGGUUAAUUGGCUUGCCCAAGGCCACACAGCUAUUUAUCAGAAAGCCAGGGUCUCAGUAGGCUGGUCUGCCUAGAAGGAGGAAACCACAGGGCAGCCUAUUAGGGAAAAUCUGUCAGCAAUUGGCUGCAAACUUGCUGACAGGUUAUCUUUCUCCAUUCAUGAGAAAUGAGACAGAAGUUAAGCACCCAAUAAGAAAAGAACAUGAGGCGUGCCUCCGUGUAAGUGAAAACUGGGUCCCUCUCUGGCUUGUAAUGUGGGGCACGGCAGGAGGGGGUUCAUGGGGACAGAGCAGCUGAAAUGAUUCCACAGGAUCCAUCCCUCACUUCAAAGACAUAUCCUCUCAGGCUGCAUUAGUCUCCUGACUAAUGCUCCCAAACGCACUGUGGAGGUUUGCUGAAGUUGAAGAUUCUCUGUAAGGUUUGCAGGAGGAACAGCGAUAAAUAAAACACAAGAUCGCCACUGCGUUACUUUGAAGGCAAGUGUGCCCAGUUCUAACUGCUAAAUUGCAAUUUUUACUCUAAGAUAAUAAUACUAAUAGUGAUGCUUCAUUUAUAUAGUGCUUCUUAAGUUCCCAAGAAUAAUAAUAAAAAUGAAAACUACACCUUAUACUACAGCUGUGUCUAUAUAUGAAGUAUAUAGUGGAGAGAGACAGUUCAAGAGCAAGCUCCCUUCGCUGUUGGGAUAUUUUAGGGCAAAGUGUUGUGAACUGGAGUUGUUUGCAUAAAGUACGCCAGAUUUUCAAUUUGGAUUUGGAAUUUAAACACAGUUUUGCUGCUAUUGUCAAUGAAAUAUUUUAUAAAACCUUUAAAUAUGCUGUUAAAUAUUUAAAACCUUUAAAUAUGCAUGCUUUAAAAAGUUAGACAAUGGAAAGAUAACUAUUGAUGUAGCUGCCCAACCAGCCUCACGUAUGUUUAGUUGGUCAUUCUUGGUCUGUGAUCUGGAUUUGUCUCCACGGUGACCCGUCAGGGAGUACCACAUAGAAGCUGAAAUGCGUGGCUCCAAGACUUCCGUGCAGCUUGGUGACGACUGGGUCAGGUCUGGGCAAGGGGUGCCAUCAACCACAAAAUCAAAAACCAUUCAAUGGUUUAAUAACUCCCUGGCCCAGCAGACGGGCUAGCAAGUCUCAGAAGCUUUGAAACUCUGAGAUCCCCUGAAAGCUCCACUCUCUGGAAGGAUGACGCUGAUCCCUUUCAGCAGGGGGUUAGUUAGGCUGUUCUGGGAUGAUAAGGGACCAGCUGCAGAGGAAGCGUUCCUCUGUCUUUCCUUGCUGCCCUAAUUUGCCCUAAUUGAAGCGCUGACAACUUCCCCCUGACCAUCCAAUCCUUGGGCCAACAAAGAAGCCAGGAUGCUGGGAGGGUGUGGCAGCUGUCCCCUCCAGGAGCUGGGACGUGGUGAGGUCACUUGCCCAUCCUUAUGGGGGCAUCCUCUGUGCUCGUAUCAAUGCCUAGAGAGCUCCUAUGUAUUCCAUCCUGGCUUCUUCAAGAUUUUGGCUCUGAAUUCAGAAUCCUCCUUUCUAUCUGGCUGCCCUUAGAUUAGGAAUACAAUUUGGACUCUUGUCCCUGAAACUGGCCUUAGUUUCCACUGGAUCAUAUUUUUGGGAAUUUUGCAUUGGUUCCAGAGCCAGCAUCCAUGGGCCACUUUACCAUACAACCUGCCCUGUUCUUUCCAAGAGACCAUUUGCCAUUCAGAUGCCUAGCAGUUAUGCUGUGCACCGUAGCCGCCUAUGGAAAUCCCACUUCAUCUUCUGAGCUCCCGAGCCCGUCACCAGGCUUCUGCUCAGGUCCUGACAUCCUGCCCAAUUCUGGCUCAACCCAAAUUGGACCGUUCAAUGUUUAAUAGAGGCUUUCUCUGCUCUGUCCUCACACCUCAACAUCUAACUGUCUAUCAACAUUCUAUUAGGCAUUUGAGAGGAACUCAAAAGCCAGAUACCCCACUCAGUAUUGCAGGAGAUAAGUUUUCUUACAACAGUCUUGCAAGGAUAUGCAGGGAAAUGAAGCCUUUUGGGGUUUCUUAGUUCAAAGCAACAGAUACAGACACUGGGUAACACAGUGCUUGCAGGAAGACUAGAGAAGCAGGGUCAGAAAAUGGUCAGGAAUGUAGGAGCCUGGGCAGUCAGAACCACAGACCAGAUCCUGCCACAGGACCAGGUGGGUGAGGGCACUGUGGCUGUCCCCGCUGAACACGGGUAGCGAUAGCUUGCUCCACCACCCCGGUUACCCUUGGAAAUUGGAUGAUACAGCAGUCACUGCCGCAACCACCAGAGGGAGCUCUUCAUGGCCAGUGAUUGUGUGUGCGCGUGUGUG